CAGUAGCCACGGUAAUACGUAGGUGGCAAGCGUUGUCCGGAAUUAUUGGGCGUAAAGCGCGCGCAGGCGGAUAGGUCAGUCUGUCUUAAAAGUUCGGGGCUUAACCCCGUGAUGGGAUGGAAACUGCCAAUCUAGAGUAUCGGAGAGGAAAGUGGAAUUCCUAGUGUAGCGGUGAAAUGCGUAGAUAUUGGGAAGAACACCAGUGGCGAAGGCGGCUUUCUGGACUGCAACUGACGCUGAGGCUCGAAAGCCAGGGGAGCGAACGGGAUUAGAUACCCCCGUAGUCCCUGUCUCUUAUACA
rnacentral:rRNA from 1 species